CAAGUAGACCGGGCGGCCGCUCCGAUCCCAGAUCGGAUCGGGGAGGAAAGUCCGAGCUCCACCGGGCGAGGGUGCUGGGUAAUGCCCAGGAGGGGUGACCCUCGGAAAGCGCCACAGAAACCAUACCGCCCGCCGCAGGGCGGGUAAGGGUGAAAAGGUGAGGCAAGAGCUCACCGCGUCCACCGUGAGGCGGAUGGCGGGCAAGCCCCACCCGGAGCAAGGCCAAAUAGGAGGACGAAAGGGCGCCCGGCCUGUCCUCGGGUAGGCCGCACGACCCCGUCGGCAACGGCGGGGCUAGAUAGAUGGCCGCCGUCCGCUCAAUCGAGCGGAUACAGAACUCGGCUUAUAGGUCUACUUGGCCG
rnacentral:RNase_P_RNA from 1 species